rnacentral:misc_RNA from 1 species
GAUGAAGAACGUAGCGAAAUGCGAUAAGUAAUGUGAAUUGCAGAAUUCAGUGAAUCAUCGAAUCUUUGAACGCACAUUGCGCCCGCCAGUAUUCUGGCGGGCAUGCCUGUCCGAGCGUCAUUUCAACCCUCGAACCCCUCCGGGGGGUCGGCGUUGGGGAUCGGCCCUUUACGGGGCCGGCCCCGAAAUACAGUGGCGGUCUCGCCGCAGCCUCUCCUGCGCAGUAGUUUGCACACUCGCAUCGGGAGCGCGGCGCGUCCACAGCCGUUAAACACCCCAAACUUCUGUAAUGUUGACCUCGGAUCAGGUAGGAAUACCCGCUGAACUUAAGCAUAUCAAUAAGCGGAGGA